AAGCACCGGCUAACUCCGUGCCAGCAGCCCGCGGUAAUACGGAGGGUGCGAGCGUUAAUCGGAAUUACUGGGCGUAAAGCGCAUGCAGGUGGUUUGUUAAGUCAGAUGUGAAAGCCCGGGGCUCAACCUCGGAAUUGCAUUUGAAACUGGCAGGCUAGAGUACUGUAGAGGGGGGUAGAAUUUCAGGUGUAGCGGUGAAAUGCGUAGAGAUCUGAAGGAAUACCGGUGGCGAAGGCGGCCCCCUGGACAGAUACUGACACUCAGAUGCGAAAGCGUGGGGAGCAAACAGGAUUAGAUACCCUGGUAGUCCACGCCGUAAACGAUGUCUACUUGGAGGUUGUGGCCUUGAGCCGUGGCUUUCGGAGCUAACGCGUUAAGUAGACCGCCUGGGGAGUACGGUCGCAAGAUUAAAACUCAAAUGAAUUGACGGGGGCCCGCACAAGCGGUGGAGCAUGUGGUUUAAUUCGAUGCAACGCGAAGAACCUUACCUACUCUUGACAUCCAGUGAACUUAGCAGAGAUGCUUUGGUGCCUUCGGGAACU
rnacentral:rRNA from 1 species